rnacentral:rRNA from 1 species
UACGAAGGGGGCUAGCGUUGCUCGGAAUCACUGGGCGUAAAGCGCACGUAGGCGGACUCUUAAGUCGGUGGUGAAAUCCUGGAGCUCAACUCCAGAACUGCCUUCGAUACUGAGAGUCUCGAGUCCGGGAGAGGUGGAGUGGAACUGCGAGUGUAGAGGUGAAAUUCGUAGAUAUUCGCAAGAACACCAGUGGCGAAGGCGGCUCACUGGCCGGGUACUGA